rnacentral:rRNA from 1 species
CAAGACCUUGCGCUUUUGGAGCGGCCGAUGUCUGAUUAGCUAGUUGGUGAGGUAAAGGCUUACCAAGGCUUCGAUCAGUAGCUGGUCUGAGAGGACGACCAGCCACACUGGGACUGAGACACGGCCCAGACUCCUACGGGAGGCAGCAGUGGGGAAUUUUGGACAAUGGGGGAAACCCUGAUCCAGCCAUGCCGCGUGAGUGAAGAAGGCCUUCGGGUUGUAAAGCUCUUUCAGCCGGAACGAAAAGGUUACGGUUAAUACCCGUGACUAAUGACGGUACCGGAAGAAGAAGCACCGGCUAACUACGUGCCAGCAGCCGCGGUGAUACGUAGGGUGCGAGCGUUAAUCGGAAUUACUGGGCGUAAAGCGUGCGCAGGCGGUUUUGUAAGUCAGAUGUGAAAUCCCCGGGCUCAACCUGGGAACU